rnacentral:rRNA from 1 species
GUCGAACGGUAGAGGGGGCAACCCCUCGAGAGUGGCGAACGGGUGAGUAAUAUAUCGGAACGUGCCCAGUCGUGGGGGAUAACGUAGCGAAAGUUACGCUAAUACCGCAUACGAUCUAAGGAUGAAAGCGGGGGAUCGCAAGACCUCGCGCGAUUGGAGCGGCCGAUAUCAGAUUAGGUAGUUGGUGGGGUAAAGGCUCACCAAGCCAACGAUCUGUAGCUGGUCUGAGAGGACGACCAGCCACACUGGAACUGAGACACGGUCCAGACUCCUACGGGAGGCAGCAGUGGGGAAUUUUGGACAAUGGACGCAAGUCUGAUCCAGCCAUUCCGCGUGCAGGAUGAAGGCCCUCGGGUUGUAAACUGCUUUUGUACGGAACGAAAAGGUUUCUAUUAAUACUAGGAGCUCAUGACGGUACCGUAAGAAUAAACACCGGCUAACUACGUGCCAGCAGCCGCGGUAAUACGUAGGGUGCAAGCGUUAAUCGGAAUUACUGGGCGUAAAGCGUGCGCAGGCGGUUAUGUAAGACAGAGGUGAAAUCCCCGGGCUCAACCUGGGAACUGCCUUUGUGACUGCAUAGCUAGAGUACGGUAGAGGGGGAUGGAAUUCCGCGUGUAGCAGUGAAAUGCGUAGAUAUGCGGAGGAACACCGAUGGCGAAGGCAAUCCCCUGGACCUGUACUGACGCUCAUGCACGAAAGCGUGGGGAGCAAACAGGAUUAGAUACCCUGGUAGUCCACGCCCUAAACGAU